CAGUCGCCGCGGUAACACGAAGGGGGCUAGCGUUGCUCGGAAUGACUGGGCGUAAAGGGCGCGUAGGCGGCAUAUACAGUCAGGCGUGAAAUUCCCGGGCUUAACCUGGGGGCUGCGUUUGAUACGUAUGGGCUAGAGUGGGGAAGAGGGUCGUGGAAUUCCCAGUGUAGAGGUGAAAUUCGUAGAUAUUGGGAAGAACACCGGUGGCGAAGGCGGCGACCUGGUCCUUGACUGACGCUGAGGCGCGAAAGCGUGGGGAGCAAACAGGAUUAGAUACCCGCGUAGUCCCUGUCUCUUAUAC
rnacentral:rRNA from 1 species